rnacentral:rRNA from 1 species
AUUGAACGCUGGCGGCAUGCUUUACACAUGCAAGUCGAACGGUAACAGGCCUUCGGGUGCUGACGAGUGGCGAACGGGUGAGUAAUGCAUCGGAACGUACCCAGAGGUGGGGGAUAACGCAGCGAAAGCUGUGCUAAUACCGCAUGUGAUCUGAGGAUGAAAGCGGGGGACCGAGCAGCAAUGUUUGGCCUCGCGCCUUUGGAGCGACCGAUGUCGGAUUAGCUAGUUGGUGGGGUAAAGGCCUACCAAGGCGACGAUCCGUAGCUGGUCUGAGAGGACGACCAGCCACACUGGGACUGAGACACGGCCCAGACUCCUACGGGAGGCAGCAGUGGGGAAUUUUGGACAAUGGGCGCAAGCCUGAUCCAGCAAUGCCGCGUGCGGGAAGAAGGCCUUCGGGUUGUAAACCGCUUUUGGCAGGAACGAAACGGUGUCCGCUAAUACCGGGCGCUAAUGACGGUACCUGCAGAAUAAGCACCGGCUAACUACGUG